UGUUAAAAAAUCUCAUCUAUUUGUAUUGUUAAAAACUAGCGUGGUUGACAGAAUAAUCAAACAGUGACAUGUGGCGUACCACGUAUACCCUAUGCUGAUGCAUAUGAACCAGUUUUAAGUAGUAAAAAUGGAUAGAAUUUUCAACU
rfam:Gossypium arboreum cultivar AKA8401 contig_66_5, whole genome shotgun sequence.